GCAGUCCACGACCUGGCAACCCUGGCAAGUGUGUUUACUGUCGAGUUGUCAUCAUCUGUUGGACAGGUGUGCUGAGUGUUGCAACGUAUACGAAAUAGACUAACCAAAGAGAAUAAAAGCCUUGAUUGAACUUAACAUAAUGGAGGAGUCUUGGGUUAAUAUAUAGAACUAACCCGUCAUAUCUCACGUCUGGAAAUGCCUCACAUUUCACCAUAUCAUAUGUGAUGAUGCAGGGCCGGGGACCAGCUUUGGGAGCUGCUCUCCUGUAUGGCACUAUCUCCCUCUCCAUGGCAUUCUUAAACAAGGCUGUGAUGAGCCAGUAUGGAUUCAAUUAUCCAUUUUUCAUAUUAUCAUGUCAGAUGAUAUUAACAGUAACUGUCUUGGAAGUUAUGCGUGCAUUUGGGAAAUUUGGCAUACCGAAAAUUACGAUGGCUGCCAUAAAGAUGUUUGCCUUUCCUUCGUUUUGCUAUUCCUUACAUGCCACACUGUCUUUAAUGGCCUUAGAAGGUAUGAAUAUUCCAAUGUAUGGAGCUCUCAAACGUUGCACUCCGCUUGUUAAUUUGAUACUAGCUGUAACGUAUCUGAAGAAGCCAACGCCGUCUGCCCUUGUGAUAACUUCAGUCUUGACUAUAACCAUUGGGUGUUUGAUAGCUGGGAUGAGUGACCCCACAUUUCAUGGAUAUGCGUAUAUGAUGGGAGGACUGAGUGUAGUGCUGCAGGGGCUGUACCAGACCCUCGUAGAACAGUGUGGUGAAAACCAGCUAUCUCCGCUGCACAUCCUCCACCUCAAUAGUUGUAUAUCAGUUAUCCCAUUUAUAAUUAUUACUUGUGGUAAAGGGGAGUUGAGUGCUGUCUUUACAUACCAGUAUAUUGGUGAAACAAAUUUCCAUGUGAUAUUCUUGUUGGUGCUGGUGCUGGGGCUGCUGCUGAACUUCUCCUUAUUCUUAUGCACAAUGCUCAACUCUGCCCUCACCACCUCCAUUGUGGGGGUGUCCAAGAGUGUUUUAACCAUCAUUGGAUUCCUCACUUUUGGUGGAAUUGUGUUCGAUCCAGUGAAUGUUGCAGGAAUUACUUUGAACAUAGCUGGUGGUGUGACAUAUGUAUAUGCCAGGUACCAAGACCACAAGACAAGGAGGAGAAACAUAUAUCUUGGAGACGAUGGCAUACAACAUGCAGGAUGGGAACUAAAAGAAAAAAUUGAUGCCAGCCAAUUGCCGAAAUAAUUUUAAGUAUGAAUAUUUAUAUAGUACAGUAGUGUUUUUAAUUUUCUUAGAAAAAUAUGAAUUUCUAGUGAUAUGGUAUUUGUAUCAGGGAAUAUUUAAAGUAACAUUCACUUGUUGAAUUAUACUUAGUACAAUCCAGUAUACUCUCAAGUGAUUACAAAGAAACUAUAUGAUUCAUCGCACAGUCAUUCCAUUUCACGAAUCUAAGUAAAAAAAAAAGUACUGAAAGAUAUGAAGAAUAAACUGAACACCAACAUACAAUACUGGAUUGACUAAUUGAGGAAGAUGAGAAGGAAGCCUAAAUGGCCAACACCUACUGGGUAUAAAUUUUUUUACAGUAUAUAUUGUUCUUGAGAGAGUUCAUGGUGGAGCCAGAUUCAUAAGUAUGAAGACAUCAUUGGCUGAGUUUUGGAUCAGUUCAUCAAUUAAAAAGAAGUCAAAGAGAUAAUUAAGAUGAUCAAGGUUGUCAUAUCUUCAGGGAAAGAUAUAAUUCAUCUCAAAGUAAUGAAAGAAGUUCACAGUACAAUAUUAUAAACAGAUUGGUAACAAUGACCUUAAACACGUCAUGCAGAACAGGCAAAUUACCAUAAGAACAGAAAACUGCAAAGAUAAAAGUAAUCAAUAAUGGGACUAUGUUGUGGAUCAUAUGGAGAACAAUCAAGUAUUGAGUGACAAACACUGUGUUCAUAAGUGGAAGAGCCACUGAACUCAAGUUGCUUCAAGUUUGUGAUGCUUGGACAGAGAAGAAAGAAGAACCAAGGGACUUCCUGUCCUCAGCUCGCAGUGUUGAUGGCCUCACAUGCUGUUGUUGGUGUGGGGGAUUUACACAAAUGCAGUCAAAGUGACACCACCCUCAUUGCCUGGUCAUCCAAGAUCCAGACCAAAGUGACAGUCGGCCAUUUUUUUUAACAAUCGAGAAUUAUUAGUACAUCCCAAAAGUGACCUCUGCGCCGUAAUCCAUUUCUUAAACCAAACAUUUGGGUUGCUGUUUAGUAAUCAGACAAUGGUUAUUGGAACAUUCAAGUAAAGUCUUUGGGUGCCUACCCCCACCUGAAGGAUUUCUCAUCUAGUUAUAUAUAAAUAGAAAAAGUAUCUGAAGUAUUACCGUACUGUAUGUUAUUUAAGAUGGAAAAAAUAAUUUAAAUGUUCUUAUUACCAUUUUCUAAAAAAAUUACUUAUUAUGAAGAGAUCACCUUGAACCCACUUGAUGUUUACUUUCAACCCCAAAGAGCUCUCAUGAUUCUCGUCUCGCCCAUUACACUUCUGAAAAUUUAUCAAAUAUUACAUUCCCACUGCCUUCUACCCGGCCAUCCUACUAAGCUGGUCCAUCUACCUUCCUCUCUCUUCCCCAUGCCACAUCUACUAUCCUUACAACAGCCUCUAGCCCAGCCUUGACAGCCAGCUGCCAUUCAUCAACCCCUAAUGUAUCCUCAGCUCUACUCUGAUGCUGCCAGGCCUUGUAAGUUCACCUGUGGUCCUCACCUCUCCCCCACAGAGACAUAUUUCCUGUCCAUCCUGCACAACCCAGAGCGACGUAAGAAAGAGAGGGGAUCCCAUACGUAAGUGGUUAACCACUCAUAUGCCACAAAACAGCUGCCCCAUGCGAGGAAAACUGCUGCUAUUAUCGCCGUACUCAAGCCAGGCAAACACGACAAAUACCGCCCAAUUUCUUUCAUCUCCUGCUUCUCCACAGUGAUGAAAUGCAUGAUUUACCUGCACUAGAAAAUUGAAGCUCACCUACAUCCUGGCCUGUAUGUAUUUUUCCCUGGGAAGAGUACUGCUCACUACAUGACAAACACUUCGGCUACAACUUCCCUCUUUACCAGCUUCCAGGGUGCAUUUGAUAAAGCCAAUGGUGACACGGUCAUUGAGAGCCUCACCCACAUGGACGAGAAGGGCAAACUCCUUACAUGGUUGGCAGACAACCUUCUUUAUCGACAGGCCUGUGUCCAUUUCCAGAGCAACACGAUCAAAGCCCUUGGUCCUCAGCCCCAAUCUCUUUAACAUUUUCAUGAACUCUGUCUACCAGCUGAACAACACUUGUUGAGCACAAUGACUCAAUGGACACACCAUCAGCUAUGCUGAUGAUCUCAAUAUUACUGUACUACACUGCAACAUAAACAACCUAUACUCUCUACACAUGCCCUUGUCAUCUCAAACAUCAAAACUAACUUCAUCUCGCACCCCCUUUGUCAGACUCCGCUGAGCCAGCAAGGACAGGGCAUUGAACAAGUACACACCUACAGGUACCUGAAGGUAAGUAUUGCACAGUUAUUACCACAACUGAACACCAGAUCAUCCACAUGCAUUCUGACAUGGUAAAUGGUACAGUUGCUAACACCAUGUUUUCACAGUUACCUCCACUUAUGUGUGAAUGUGUUUGGAUUUGUUCACAGUAUUACGGUGUACAAAUAAAUACUACUUUAUAAUGUACAAAGAUUUUAUAUUAUACUAAUUAUCAAGACAAAAUA